rnacentral:rRNA from 1 species
CAGCCGCCGCGGUAAUACGUAGGUGGCAAGCGUUGUCCGGAAUUAUUGGGCGUAAAGGGCUCGCAGGCGGUUUCUUAAGUCUGAUGUGAAAGCCCCCGGCUCAACCGGGGAGGGUCAUUGGAAACUGGGAAACUUGAGUGCAGAAGGGGAGAGUGGAAUUCCACGUGUAGCGGUGAAAUGCGUAGAGAUGUGGAGGAACACCAGUGGCGAAGGCGACUCUCUGGUCUGUAACUGACGCUGAGGAGCGAAAGCGUGGGGAGCGAACAGGAUUAGAUACCCCAGUAGUCCCUGUCUCUUAUAC